rnacentral:tRNA from 1 species
GCAGAGGUAGUUCAGUGGUAGAAUUCUCCCCUUCCAUGUGGGAGACCCAGGUUCGAUUCCUGGCUAAUAUA